CAUAUAAGCAGUUCAGUAAAGACAAAAUUAGUACUUUCUGAUACAUUUAAAGAGUCGUGAAUUUCGAAUUUAGUUUUCCCGAGAUUAACUUUUUCUUUUUUUAAGGCAGAGGCAAUUCUACUAACCAUGGUCCCAUCGAUAGUGCACUAUCUCGUUCGUUAAAGCGUGGAGGGAGCUUUCCAGUGCUUUUUAUGGUGGUGUUGGUAUUCGUAGUGGCUGUCUACGUUGGAUAUCACAA